UACGGAGGGUGCAAGCGUUGUCCGGAAUCACUGGGCGUAAAGGGCGCGUAGGCGGCUCAUGAAGGCUGUGGUGAAAGUCCGGGGCUCAACCUCGGAUCGGCCGUGGCGACUCGUGGGCUGGAGCACUGUAGAGGCGGGUGGAAUUCCGGGUGUAGCGGUGGAAUGCGUAGAGAUCCGGAAGAACACCAGUGGCGAAGGCAGCGUCCUGGCCGAGCACUGACGCUCAGGCACGAAAGCGCGGGGAGCAAACAGG
rnacentral:rRNA from 1 species